GGCCUCUGGUGGGUAGUCAGUGCUGGUAGGGACAGCUGAGACACUGAUGAAAGCAAAGGGCUCUGAUGGCAGAAC
ensembl:snoRNA